rnacentral:lncRNA from 1 species
AUGUCAUAAAAAGUCCGAAUGUUUAAACUCAGUCAUGUGACAUAUGUCUCUAUUUCUAUUAUUCAGCUUGUCAUAACUGGUGUUGUCCUGGUGCACACUGGGAGGAAGCCAUCUAAAUGUCUGGUGCUGACAACCAUUGUUCUGCAAUUACUAACAGCAGCAUUUGAUAUUGUUGGAUUUGGGCUCAUGGCCAGACACAUCCCAUUCAGAGGAGAGUCGUACUACUACAGGGACACAGAGUUCUUAGUGAAUGGGAUCUUGUUGACACUGAUCGGUUUCCUGGUGCUAGCAUGUGUCAUUGGUUUGGUUGUGUCUCUUUUUGGGGUCUACACCCUUUCUGUUAGUGCCAUAAAGGAGGUGACGCCCAUCCCUCACUCUACCGCAAACCAACAUUAUGGUGUUGGCGUUCAGACCCAGAACAAGAUCCAUGCCGGAAACUGACAAAAUAAGAGCCGUUCAGAGCAGAAGGGCACAGUUUUAGCACAGUUUUACACCAACUGCAAAAGAGGACUGUUUCACCUACAAACCACUCACAGGUAAACAACCACAACUACAGACAAAAAAAAAAAACCCGUUUGUGAAGUUGUAAAUAAUUUUUAAAAAAUAAAAUGGAUCAAAUCUAAUUUUUUGCUUGGCCGUUGCUCUCACAGGCUUUAGGACUGCUGUAAUUUUGAAUGCUCAACUUAAUAGUUAUUCGUACCUCAUUAAUUUUCGCUCUUACAAACUGAAGCUUCUUAGCAUGAAAUGUCUACCCAGAAAUCUAGACCAGAAUCCAGUGUUAUCAAUGUAUGUAAGAGGGGUAAGUGUGCUUAUCGUUCUUAGGAUAUGUGAAAUUAGGUACAUAGCAGAAACAGAAAUGGAAUUAUGGUGAAUGUGAAUGGUAAGAAGGUUCUGUGAUUCCGGCUUGUUUCAUAGCAUUUUGUACCACCUUUUGCAUGGAUCUUUAUAUCGGUCAACAUGUUUGUUUUAGCCACAUGAGGACAUAUGGGGCUACAUUUAUCAAGUUGAUAUUUGUUAAUUGCAAUUUGAAAAUAAAAGCUCUUGGAACCAUAAAAAUGUAACAACACUGUAAGCAAGCCAAAUGAUUUUAUAUAUAUGCUUACAAAAAAAAUCCUUCAAAAUAAAAGCCUUGAUAAAUGUGGCCCAUGUUCAGUGAAACUCCUCUAAAGCAGAGUAAUGUGAAUUUGAACACCAGUGAACAACUAAACAGCAGCGCUUGGCUUUUUUGUCAUCUCGUUUUAUCCGUACUGAUUCUUCAGGAAAGCUAUGAUGACUGCCAACUCUGUAAGUGCCACCACUUUUGACCAAAAUCAUGGACACCCUAAUGACUAAAGGUCAGAGGUUGAACCCUCAGUCAAGGGCUCGACUUUGGUGAUGUAAAAUCCUUUUGUGAAAGCAUGCGACAUCCGUUCUGUGUCUGUAGAUUUUUGUCUUUAUGACAGCAUGUGAGAUUUACAUUGUGCCUGUUCUCAGUGAACUCUUUACAUGUUGUAAAUGAAAACGUAGUAUGUAGUAACAUGGCUGUGUUUGUAUUUGACUGAAUGAUGUUUCAAAUAAACUUGAUUUACU